UCUAAGGAUGAACCCUAAUGGAAACGCUCGUUUAUCGAGCCUCUACCUUUCGGUUCUCUUGGAACAAGACGGAAGAUAGUCAAUCUUACCGUCGCGCAUACCUAAAGCGGGUCUGCCGCCUUCGUUUCUCUUUCUUCGCGAAUGACUUUGAUUGCGCUCACGCGCCGUUUCGGCCUUCGGCCUGGCGCUCCGCGAGGGCGCGGCACGAGCCGCGACGGCCACCGGUUUUAGUUAGAUUUGGCGGCCUUGCGAGGCUCUGCCUCGAAGCCGGCUACCAUCUGCGCUUGAGGCUCAGGGCUUGUAGCUCAGUUGGUUAGAGCGCGCGCUUGAUAAGCGUGAGGUCGGAGGUUCAAGUCCUCCCAGGCCCACCAAUUCGCAAUCCGCAAGGAUUGUCGGAUCACCCGAUACCUAUCGGGAAGCACUAUCAGGGGCCGUAGCUCAGCUGGGAGAGCGCCUGCUUUGCAAGCAGGAUGUCGUCGGUUCGAUCCCGUCCGGCUCCACCAACACGCGAUCCGCAAGGAUCGUCGUGUCGCGAUCCGCAAGGUUGCGCUCGGGUGUCGAGUAGAGAUGAUCGAUCGCCGGCGGUUCAGUCAUUCGAAAAAGAGUUUGCGCCGAGCUUCGUGCUCUGCGCCUGUUCUGUUUGACAUCGUAAAGAGAAGAUUUGUUCGAACUUCAUGAGCCCAAAAGGCUUCAUGAUUUGCCGCGAAAGACGCUCAAUCUUUCGCAGAUGGUGGGUAAGCCUAACCGCGCCCUCGAACCGAUCUCGAGAAGCUGGUCUUUUUGUGCCAAUUCCAUUGAGGCGCGAUCUCGCAGAGAUCGUCGCUGCAGCGACAAUCCCUUCGGGAUUGCGCUUAGCUAAUCCCGCAAGGGGUUUGGCUUGAACGACAAUCCCUUCGGGAUUGCGUGAUGGGUAUUGGCAAUGAGAACGAUCAAGUGUCUUAAGGGCAAUUGGUGGAUGCCUUGGCAUGCACAGGCGAUGAAGGACGUGAUACGCUGCGAUAAGCUACGGGGAGGUGCGAAUACCCUUUGAUCCGUAUAUCUCC
rnacentral:misc_RNA from 1 species